CUGUAAAAUAUCAAUAAAAUAUAUUUUUUAAAAAAAUAAAAAAAAGCCUGGUUUUUCUCAAUACACCUUUAAAGGUUUUUAAAUUGUUUCAUAUCUGGUCAAGUUGAGAUUUUUAAGAACCUCAUUUUUAAUUUGUAAUAAAAGUUUACAGCUUGAUUUUUU